rnacentral:misc_RNA from 1 species
ACACAGUAUCCAAUCAAUCGGACCUGCAAUAAAUGAAGAUGGUAUUAUUAUAUAGUGAAUAGAAGGUAAAGAAAUAUCCAAAGUUUUACAAAUCAUCCCUGUUGGAGCGUGCAUGAUUAUACAUAUGCAGACAGAACUAUUAAAUACACUAAUAUAAUCCCUGAGCUAGCAAAAUCCUUCUGGCAGGACACUUGAUGCUUAUCCAACUAGUUAAGACCUUCAACCUCGAAAGUGCAGUUGAUAAAAAUAUCUGUAUGUCGCAGCUUUGGACUGAUUCAACUAUUACAUUUGAAAUGAUUCUUACAUUGCCAUGGUAAACAGAAACACUGCAUUUAAUAUCUUGUUGCCAAAGCAAAGAAGUGGGUUUUAAGGAGAGAGUGCAUUAUAUAAACAAAUCAAAACUUAAAAUAAUGAAGCUGAGAGGCACAGUAAUUUAUAUAGUCGCCAAGCAGGCAGUGUAUACUGAUCUGGUCAUGCAAACAAACAACAUAAUUUUCCCAAGGUUCAUUAAAGUCUUAAUCUGGAACCACGUUAAGUUCAUUAUUUUAAAUGGAUAAAUGAAAUGAUAUGUGGAUUUUCUGUUUAGUUCAUACAAUAGAGGUAAACAGUGACUGAAGUAUUCUAGGUAAUACCAACAAUUACUCUGAAAACUACUCUAAAAUAAAAUUUUGUUACAUUUGCUCAAAUAAAGAGAUGCGACAACAUCAAUUCUUCUUUACAAGCAUUACUGUUA